rnacentral:rRNA from 1 species
UACGUAGGCAGCGAGCGUUGUUCGGAGUUACUGGGCGUAAAGAGCGUGUAGGCGGCCUGACAGGUCUGCUGUGAAAACUCGAGGCUCAACCUCGAGAUGUCGGCGGAAACCGUCUGGCUAGAGUCCGGAAGAGGAGAGUGGAAUUCCUGGUGUAGCGGUGAAAUGCGCAGAUAUCAGGAGGAACACCAGUGGCGAAGGCGGCUACCUGGACCGGUUCUGACGCUGAGGCGCGAAAGCGUGGGUAGCAAACAGGA